GGCCUGAUGUGGAGUUGAGCAUGCAUUGUAUAUCUGCUUUAAGUAUUUACAAUGUCCCAAAGACAAGAACAAUGCCCUUUAAGAUAAAGAAAGACAGGCACGUUUCCUUAAGGAGAAGCAUCUCUUCCUAGGCUAGGGAUUGCCUGCUGACCACCCAGUUCGAGCCCACAGCCCUGCCACCUGCUGUGUUCAUCAGUUGCUGUGUGAAUCGCUGUGCUGGCUAGACCAUCCUGUGACUGUUGUAAAAGGGACAUUCCGAUCAUAUGUGAUACAUGCUCUUUGAACGGUAUGUAACCUCUCUGCACAGCCCCACUUCCCUGGAGCGCUUCAUUCCUUUGUGAAAGGACUCUCCCAGGCUGUAUGGUCUGCAGAUCUGGCUCAUAAAAAACUCACCCCAAUUUUGGUUUAUGGAUUGUUAUGGAUUAUUCGCAUCGACGUGUCCAAUCCUGAGAGAGAGAGAGAGUCUGUUUCCACACAGACCUUUCAAACACCGUCCUUCGGAGAGCUGUGGCUAGUAACAGUAUUUAACAAACAUUGAGAGAACAUGAUGUGUUGUACUAUUCAGGCUUUGAGUCGUAAAGAAGGGAGCUCCCAAGCUAAUGGGGGAGACAUGAAUUCUGCCCUCAGAAAGCCUUCCACUGUGGGAGAUGGAGCCCACGGAUGAAGAGUGCCACAGAAAGAGACGAGCCUAUGAGUACCAUGCAGGAUUUGAAGAUGGCAGGCCGCUGACUGGCCCCGUCCUGCGUGAGGAGGGGCACGAUGAGGAAGCUGAGGCUCAAAGAGUUUAAAUGACUGACCCAAAGUCCCAAAGUGAGGCUUCCAGGACCAGAAUCCUGUUACGGUGGCCGCCAGGCCAGGCUGACUCUCUGCUCUACCCACAUCUGCUGAGACUUCGCUUUGAACUCAAGUCUCCGUGUGGCUCCAUGCUCCACACGUCUGCCAGGACUGACAUCGUGCUGCUCCUGACCUCAUGGCUAACUCGCUGGCGCGCCUGCCACGAUGCUUUUAGAGCUGCGCCCCUGAGACAGGCACCCUCAUCUUAGCUCACGACAUCUCCUCCUAUACCCAAAGCCACCGCCCUACGACCUCCCUGCUGGGAGGACCUCCUAACCGGGUGCUCUGUCCGAGGCACCUCGUGAUGUAGUGGAAAGGUGGCUGGACUUGGAGGUGAAACACCCAAGCACUGGUUCUGGUCCUUGUCUGGCUGAGUAACCCUGGACAAGUGAUUCCACCUCUUCAAACUCCAGCUUCUUUAUCUGCAAAACACAGACGAGAACACGCACAGCUCAGUGUUGUUGACAGGAUUAAAUGAGAUAUCCGUUAUGAAGGGCCUCCUGGGAGCCCAGAAACACCACCUCUCCCUCCUCCAUCUGUCCAUCUUCCCUCUCUCCUCCCUGCCUUUUCUUCUUUCCUCUUCGCUACAGUUCAUCUGUGCGACCCCCGAGACUGGUCUUCCUGGAACUCCACUCGCGUCGGCUGCUCCCUUGAUCGCAAAUCUCAGAUGACUUCCCAUUGCCAGGUCCAGCCGCCUCUCCAUUGCUACGCAGGAUCCUCAGCUUCUGGCAGCCCCUGUCCUCUCCAUGCUUCAUCUCCUGCCCCUCAGGAACACGCACGGUCUGGUUGGGAUUCAUGCUGACUGGUUCCUAC
rnacentral:lncRNA from 1 species